rnacentral:lncRNA from 1 species
CUUUCUCCCUUGUAAUAAAGUGGGCACAUACAGAGAGCACAAAGAGGAAAGUUAAAGCGCAGCCAAACAGCAUUACAUCAGCGGAGCUGCAGACUGUCUGGGCAGAGCAGAGCAAUUGCAGGUGUGAUGCUGUGCUGGGGGAUUAACCUGUUAGCAGCUGGUUUUCUCCAGCAGCAAGGAAAUAAACGACGAAAUCUCAUAGCCGAGGAACUCAGCUAAGGGGAGCUGUUCUGAAUUUCAGUGAGGUCUCUCCAGAGUAAUUCCCUGCUGAACACUGAAAAACCAAGCAUGGUGUCCACGGUGAGCUCCAGCCUCAUCUUGCUUUUCUGGAGUUCACAAGGAUGGACAUAGUAAACAUCUUUAUGAGGUUUCAGCUGAAGUAUUUCAACUGGGUAGAAGUCUCAAAUUUGAAGAAACAAAUGAAUCAAGUCCCAGAAGAAACGACUUGUUAG